rnacentral:rRNA from 1 species
ACGGAAGGCAGCAGUAGGGAAUAUUGGACAAUGGGGGAAACCCUGAUCUAGCGACGCCGCGUGAGUGAAGAAAUAUUUCGGUAUGUAAAGCUCUAUCAGCAGGGAAGAAAAUGACGGUACCUGACUAAGAAGCACCGGCUAAAUACGUGCCAGCAGCCGCGGUAAUACGUAUGGUGCAAGCGUUAUUCGGAUUUACUGGGUGUAAAGGGAGCGUAGACGGCAUGGCAAGUCUGAAGUGAAAUGCGGGGGCUCAACUCCUGAACUGCUUUGGAAACUGUCGAACUAGAGUGCAGGAGAGGUAAGUGGAAUUCCUAGUGUAGCGGUGAAAUGCGUAGAUAUUAGGAGGAACACCAGUGGCGAAGGCGGCUUACUGGACUGUAACUGACGUUGAGGCUCGAAAGCGUGGGGAGCAAACAGGAUUAGAUACCCUGGUA